AGUGAACGCUGGCGGUAGGCCUAACACAUGCAAGUCGAACGGCAGCACAGAGGAGCUUGCUCCUUGGGUGGCGAGUGGCGGACGGGUGAGGAAUACAUCGGAAUCUACUCUGUCGUGGGGGAUAACGUAGGAAAACUUACGCUAAUACCGCAUACGACCUACGGGUGAAAGCAGGGGAUCUUCGGACCCUGCGCGAUUGAAUGAGCCGAUGUCGGAUUAGCUAGUUGGCGGGGUAAAGGCCCACCAAGGCGACGAUCCGUAGCUAGUCUGAGAGGAUGAUCAGCCACACUGGAACUGGGACACGGUCCAGACUCCUACGGGAGGCAGCAGUGGGGAAUAUUGGACAAUGGGCGCAAGCCUGAUCCAGCCAUACCGCGUGGGUGAAGAAGGCCUUCGGGUUGUAAAGCCCUUUUGUUGGGAAAGAAAUCCAUCUGGUUAAUACCCGGGUGGGAUGACGGUACCCAAAGAAUAAGCACCGGCUAACUUCGUGCCAGCAGCCGCCGCCG
rnacentral:rRNA from 1 species